UUGGACUUAUACUAAAGACCUCUAUUUACCCAGCAAACCUGUACAGCCUAGGCGGAAGCCGUGCAAGCUUCCCAACCAUAAGUCAGAGGGGCCAUCACUGUGCAUGAAAGGGAUGUUCAGUCUUCAUGUCUCAUUCAGUCCUCGGCCUCU
rnacentral:sRNA from 1 species